rnacentral:rRNA from 1 species
GACGAACGCUGGCGGCGUGCUUAAUACAUGCAAGUCGAGCGCAAAAGCCCUGUUCUUGUACCGUGUGCAUGAGCAGCGAAGGGGUGAGUAACGUGUGUGACCUCUGCCUUUCAGCGGGGGACAACAUUUGGAAACGAAUGCUAAUACCGCAUAAAAACUUUAAACAUAAGGGGUAAGUUUGAAAGUUGCAAUUUCAUCACUGAAAGAUGAUCUCGCGUUGUAUUAGCUAGGUGGUGAGGUAAAGGCUCAUCAAGGGGGUGCUACAUAGCCGACGGGAGAGGGCGAUCAGCCGGCUUGGGACUGAGACCCGCCCCAUACUCCUACAGGAGGCAGCAGUACGGAAUCUUCGGGAAUGGAUGAAAGUCUGACCGAGCUACGCGGAGUGAGUGAAGAAGGAUGUCGGAUCGUAGAACUCUGUUGGUAGAGAAGAACGUUGGUGAGAGUGGAAAGCACAGCAAGUGACGGUAACUAGCAAGAAAGCGACGGCUAACUACGUG